AGUCAGCCGUCACCUCAUAUUCAUAGCAUUAAAAACGAAUCAAAACGGAGCUCCUCUUCUCCAAAAACAAACUCUUAGAUGCCAUCGUUGCUACAAUCCCAUAUCCGCCAAUGGAAGAGAAUCAACAGCCCGUAUGUAUCAAGUGAAAAUACAGCAGGUGUCUAUGAAGAACUGUUCCCUGGAUUAAUCAAUUGGAUGGAACAACCAAAAAUUGUUUUGCUUAUCUUUGUUUCUGCAAAGAUUGUUCUCACUGGAGCAAAGGUUAGCGAUGAGACUUAUACCACCUUUGAGAACAUAUAUCCUGUUCUUACUGAGUUCAGGAAGAAUCAGCAAUGGUAUGAUGUUUGAUUAUGCCUAAUUACCUAACGAUUUUAGUGAUUUAAAUGUCUCUGAAGUGCUUUUUUGAAUUACCUUUUGGAUUAUUGUGUGGCAAACCUAGGUCGUUGUGAUAAGCUGGUUGUGAAUUAAAAGAGAUGACAAAAAUCAUGUUUGAUCGGGGAUAUAGGUCCUUGAAGUAUUGAUUGUACUUAUAAAGUGCUUUUGUGAAUUACCUUUUGGAUUAUUGUGUGGCAAACCAUAGGUGGUUGUGAUAAGCUGGUUGUGAAUUAAAAAGAGAUGAUAAAAAUCUUGUUUGAUGAGGGAUGUAGGUGCAUGAAGUGUUGACUGGGUACUUAUAAAGUUUUCCCAAAAGACAGAUUUUUCUACAGGAGUUGAACACAACUGUUUUCGUUUUGCAUAUGUUAAUUUAGCUAGCAUAAAAUCAUCUAAGUGCAGACACACUUAAGAUUGGGGUGAAACCAAGCCAUUUUGUCUCCUGAUUCUUUAGUUGACAUUGAGAAGUCAUUUACCAAAGGGAAAUUAAAAAAAGAAAAGAGGAACAGGGGUGUCUUGGUAUUGAACCAUUCUAAACUUGGAAAAGGUUAUGUUAGUUCAAGGAUGCUUUUUUUAUUUUAUCAGAUAGUAAUAUAUACUUUUAUCGAGAUCUGCCAUGCGGUUCUGCUAACAUAACUCUGCUUCUUGCCUCAAAUCUUGGUGAAUUGGUUACUCCAUAUUGACACUAUGUUGUUUGUAGAUAUUCUCUUUUAUUCUUUUCCCUUCUGGGUAGUAUAAUAAAUCAGAUUUUCAGCGUGAAAGUCUGAAAGUAUUCAUAUGUUUUCUUAUAAUUGUGGAAAGUAAUUCUUUGGGAUUUGAAAAGCUCCCUGCAGCAUCUCCGCCUAAUAUUGCGAUUCCUCAAUCCUGCUACUACUAUACUUUAUAUGGUGUCUCAAGUGAAUUGAGGAAUCUAUCAUUAGGCAAUACUGAAUUCAAAAUUUUGUUUUUUGACGCACGUAGGUGUGCUGUCUACCUUUAGCUCCAAAUCAUUCCUCCUAUGCUUUUAGGAUUUUUCGGUGACAAGGUAGAUACAAAUUUUUUAUUUUUAUUUUUUUCUAUCUACUUAUUUUUGUAUCUUUUGAUCUAUAGUUUUGGAAAUAACAUGUAAAAACUAUCUCUUCCUACUUAAAUUGAUUUGCUACUCUUCCUACUUAAAUUGAUUUGCUACCAUGUGUUGCUGUGGCAAAGAUUUGAGCCCAGUUGGGUGGUGGUGGUGAUCAUGGGAAUGAUGAAAAAAUCAGACGGAUUCCCAUUGAUUACUUUUCGUGAGAAUGAUAAAAAACAACCAGCUAUUUCUGACCCCACAGCACCACCAUCACCUGCUGCCCAUCUCCUACCCAGCUAAUCUACAUAAUUAAUGGUUUUUAUGCAUGUUAGGUAGCAUUUUUUUUUUUUUUUACUUUUUCGUUUUGAAAUCCGUAUUAGCACUGAACAGAUGACAUGAUGCAUCUGGGUGCAAUGUUCCGGCAAUUUUUCAGAAAUUGAAAGAGAAGGCCUUGUGAUGUGAGAAAUAGAUAUUUGCUACUCUUGAUGGGUAAUUUAUCUACCCACCUGAUGAUUUUCUAUCCACCAAGAUCUCUGAGGCCUGCUGCUCUUUUAAAAUUUGCUUACAAAACUUCUGCACCUCAAUUAGCUCCCAAGUUUCCUUGAAUGGGCUUGCCAUAUGCAAUAGAGAUGCUAAGAGUCUUUACCAGGGAAACCUACAUAUACAUCUUAAGAUCAUUAUUUUGUAUCUCACAACAUAUGUAUACUAACAUAACCAGCUUAAAGCUACAUUGGCAUGAAGUUAUCAUCUAACAACUUCCUAAAAGAAAGAAAGCACAUGUUAGAUUUAUGGCGCUCAGGUUUAGUCGAAGUAUGAUUAAAUUGUAUGUCAAAGACUCUGAACUUUUAAACUCAGAAGAUUGUGUUGAAAUCAGCCUAUAGCCAGAGCUCCAACAAGCAUGGUUUUCCUGUUUGUCUAGUUUCUCAAAAAGAUUACCAUGACAAGAUGAAAUCUGUUGCACCACUUAAUUAUGCAGGCUCCCUUUACGAACUAAUACCAAUCUUGCAGGAUUGUAGUUACAUCACGCUACCACAAGUUUGCUGAUAUAUUAAGUCCAUUCUGUUGGUGGCCAUCCCAUUCAGUUCCCCUCUUUACCAUUUUGCUCACUUCGUGUUUGGCAUGAAAUUAUUUCCUGGAGCGUUACUAAUUCUGUUUGUUAUUUCUAAAAAGCAGUUCUUUCAGCACCUCCAAAGUUGGUGUACAGUAAACUAGUUCUGCACUUCACAAGGAAACUUUUGGUGGCAGUUGCAGAGAAGUGGGGUAGUCAUGUUCUUGUUAUUGAUAAAGUUGCACCCCCUAAUUGAAAGGUUAGGUAUACCAUUUGUUAGCUGAUCUUGGAGUUAACAGCUAGAUUGGUGUCUAGGAAUUCUGAAUUCUCUACGUGCUUUCUUUACUGGCAAAAGGGAGUGGUUUUCAUUUGCUUAACAAUGACUUCUAUUUCUGAUAGGUCAAGAUUGUAUUUUAUUUGCAGAAUGAAACUGUACGCAGAGAAAGGAGCUGGAUAGUUCUCAUCACUUGAAUAAGAAACCUAAAAUUCUAAGAUCCCUAGACUCCUGCAAGAUGUUGAUGUGUGUUGCUUGUAAACUGCUGUUUCCCAAUUACCAUAAAAGACUGGGAGUUAGUUUAAACUGUUUAAAAAGAUAAGAUGCUAAUCACCUUUUGCAGAAACAUUCUUUUCCUUUCCACCUUUAAAGAUCAGCCUUUCUUAUCAUAUUUUUUCCUAGUUAUAGAAGGAGUAUGUUGAUGAACUUGGAAGAUCUUGUUUAUCUGCCCGAGGGACCAAGCAGCAGGGCUGUUGGGUGCCCUGAAAGUUAUGGGGUCCCCUUAGAGCAUCCAAUGGCUCUGAAUAUUGCAUAGUUGCCAGGAUAUCCCAUCCUUUGUUGCCCCUCCCCCUCUCUUUGUCCAUUGUUCUUGAUGAGUUUUUCCCAUCUCUCUAAUAUUUGGAAUUUUAUGUGUAGAUUUUUGUAUAAUCCAACUUUAUCCUGAAUUGUAUUCUGAUCUCAAAUUUCUGCUCAUUUAAGCUGUAUGUAGUUAAUGAUCUUCUGCAUUUCAUUUUAUAUCAACUCUGGCUGAUUGCCCUUAUCAAUCAAAGCUUGGAUAAUGAAAAUUUUUAAGG